rnacentral:tRNA from 1 species
GGGUCUGUAGUUCAGCGGUUAGAGCACCUCGCUCAUAACGAGCGUUGUCGCAGGUUCGAAUCCUGCCAGACCCACCA